rnacentral:SRP_RNA from 2 species
GCUGGGCGUGGUGGCGCAUGCCUGUAAUCCCAGCUACUCGGGAGGCUGAGGCAGAAGAAUUGCUUGAACCAGGGAGUCGGAGGUUGCAGUGAGCCAAGGUUGCGCCACUGCACUGCACUCCAGCCUGGCAACAGAGCGAGACUCUGUCUCAA